rnacentral:rRNA from 1 species
UGGGGAAUUUUGGACAAUGGGGGCAACCCUGAUCCAGCAAUGCCGCGUGUGUGAAGAAGGCCUUCGGGUUGUAAAGCACUUUUGUCCGGAAAGAAAACUUCGGGGCUAAUACCCCUGGAGGAUGACGGUACCGGAAGAAUAAGCACCGGCUAACUACGUGCCAGCAGCCGCGGUAAUACGUAGGGUGCGAGCGUUAAUCGGAAUUACUGGGCGUAAAGCGUGCGCAGUCGGUGCUGUAAGACCGAUGUGAAAUCCCCGGGCUUAACCUGGGAACUGCAUUGGUGACUGCAGCGCUGGAGUAUGGGAGAGGGGGGUGGAAUUCCACGUGUAGCAGUGAAAUGCGUAGAGAUGUGGAGGAACACCGAUGGCGAAGGCAGCCCCCUGGGCCAAUACUGACGCUGAUGCACGAAAGCGUGGGGAGCAAACAGG